rfam:Clostridium sp. CAG:127 genomic scaffold, scf106
UUCUGUAAAUAAACAGCAAUGUUUGAAAUGUUCUGCAGAAAAAUAGCCAUGUUUGAACACGAUGUUCAAACAAGCCGCCACUGAGCCAUGGAUGGCGAAUUGGCGGUGGUUGCGUGCGUUGUUUAGCUUGUGAAUCAGAACAUCUUAGAACUUCUUAAUUUCAAUAC